GAGGGGGCGCGUGCGGGGGAUUCCACUGCGGGUGUUCUGGGACGGCUUCAGCUGAGAUAUGACUCAGAAUCCCACCCUUGAAAUGGUUUAAGUGACAAGGGCAGCAUUGAACAAAGACUGUUACAGUCCAGCUGUGUUUCUGCAAGGUAUGAGAAAGCAAUGCUGGCCUCCAGAUGACGAGAACAGACACUUUGGAUCCUGGGAAAAGCUUAGGGAACCCACUGAUGAAUGGAUUAUAGUGGAUUGUACAUUCACACGCCCAAAUUGCAGCAAGGAAACUGAACAAGCUAACAAGUUUCUUUGUGCCCGUCAACCUGUUGAUCUCCCUGUUCCUAACCCUGUCCAGAAGUGUGGAAGCUCAAAAUGUUCUAAUGUCCAGAUCAGAAAGUGGGGUUGGUAUGAUACUGAUGGCAAAUGUCUCCAACAUCACAAGUCCUGCGAAGAGCCCUGGAUCUGGUUGAAACUUCCUGUAGGAUGAGAAGCACUGAGAGAGAACCAGUUAAGAUAUUUUUACAUGUUUGGGACAUCAAUAAUCCAAACAGGACAGAAAUUCAAUUAAUGUUUGACAAAUGGAAUUUUUAUUCUCCUUCUAACACAAGUAGAUUUUUUCUCAAACAUUCUUAAGGAGUUUAAAAAACAUUACUACAUUUUACUUAUCAGGAAACAUAUGCUUUGCCCCAAGCACUUUAUGGGACACUGGCAGUUGGCUCAGGAUUUAUUCCUAGUGCAUGAACUGGCUUUCUGGAACCCAUUCCCUACUGAGGGAUACCUUGCUCAGCCUGGAUACAGGGAGGAGGGCCUUGAUCCUGCCCCCAGUGAAGUGACAGACUUUGAUGAUUCCCCAUGGGAGGCCUCACCCUCUCUGAGGAGUGAAUGGG
rnacentral:lncRNA from 1 species